GACGAACGCUGGCGGCGUGCCUAACACAUGCAAGUCGAGCGGAGAAUGCGGACAUGUUUACAUGGAAGUGUUCUUAGCGGCGGACGGGUGAGUAACACGUGGGUAACCUGCCUCAAAGUGGGGGAUAGCCUUCCGAAAGGAAGAUUAAUACCGCAUAAGCCUACAGUACCGCAUGGUACAGCAGGAAAAGGAGCAAUCCGCUUUGAGAUGGACCCGCGGCGCAUUAGCUAGUUGGUGAGGUAAUGGCUCACCAAGGCGACGAUCAGUAGCCGACCUGAGAGGGUGAACGGCCACACUGGAACUGAGACACGGUCCAGACUCCUACGGGAGGCAGCAGUGGGGAAUAUUGCACAAUGGGCGAAAGCCUGAUGCAGCGACGCCGCGUGAGCGAUGAAGG
rnacentral:rRNA from 1 species